rnacentral:rRNA from 1 species
GACGAACGCUGGCGGCGUGCUUAACACAUGCAAGUCGAACGGAAAGGCCCUGCUUUUGUGGGGUGCUCGAGUGGCGAACGGGUGAGUAACACGUGAGUAACCUGCCCUUGACUUUGGGAUAACUUCAGGAAACUGGGGCUAAUACCGGAUAGGAGCUCCUGCUGCAUGGUGGGGGUUGGAAAGUUUCGGCGGUUGGGGAUGGACUCGCGGCUUAUCAGCUUGUUGGUGGGGUAGUGGCUUACCAAGGCUUUGACGGGUAGCCGGCCUGAGAGGGUGACCGGCCACAUUGGGACUGAGAUACGGCCCAGACUCCUACGGGAGGCAGCAGUGGGGAAUAUUGCAUAAUGGGCGGAAGCCUGAUGCAGCAACGCCGCGUGCGGGAUGACGGCCUUCGGGUUGUAAACCGCUUUCGCCUGUGACGAAGCGUGAGUGACGGUAAUGGGUAAAGAAGCACCGGCUAACUACGUG